rnacentral:lncRNA from 1 species
GAACAAACACUUGCAAUAUCUUCAGUAAGAGUACAUGUUCAGAACAAACACUUGCAAUAUCUACUGAAAGAAAUUGUUUACUCCUGCAGAUUUUCUUGCAUGUUCAGAAUCUGGAAACAUUCAGAAGCAUGUUCAGAACACUUGCAUGCACAGAAUACUUACUGAAAAAUUACUGAAAAAUACUGUUAAAUGUUGACAAGUUAAAUCUUGUUAAAUACUCCAAGCAAUCUUGUUGGAGUAACUUUGACUAUGUACUGUUGGAGUAGCUUUGACUAUGUACUGUACAGAGCAAGAUGGAGUACUUAACAGAGCAAGAUGGAGUAAUCCAAGAAAAUUAACAGAGCAAGCAAAUGUACUCCAAAUGGUAGUUCACCAGAGAUUUUCAAGUUAAAAAUACUCCCAGGGGUAAACAACAAUGACAUGGACAGAGUAAAGGAUGGAUGUUGUAAAUCAAUCCAGUAAUUAACAGAGCAAGAAAAUUAACAGUAUUUUUCACCCUCCAGACACUGCCUAGAGCACUUACAAGAUGACAAAGUUAGUUUUGCAUAACACAUAUGGAUUCUUAUCUUCUUCAGUAAGGGGGGGCACAUUUACAGCUAAUUAAGCACGAUGAAAUGGACCAACCAAUUAAAUUCAUUCUUCUUCUUCUUCUUCUUCUUCUUCUUCCCAUGAGAAAGAAAUUACAGUAAUUAAGCAGGAGCAAGUUCAUCAUCCAAAACAGUGGAAGGAAGGGGAUGGGUAAGAAACAAAGGAGUCACCUUCAGAUACUCUUGUGCGGCUGCUGCUCCUCUUCAGCAACCUUGGGCCCUUCCCAUUGUCCUCCUCUGCUUCCCCUCCAUUGACAUGGCCAUGUCCAUUCCCAUUCUCACGGGCAUGGACCAGCAGUCUCUUCUUGAUCUCCACCUCCUCCCGCAGCUCCCCUCCAUGAUCCCCACCUCCUCCUUGAACUGGUCCCACACCGCCGGCUGCGGACUCG